UACAGAGGUCUCAAGCGCUGUUCGGAUUCAUUGGGCGUAAAGGGUGCGUAGGCGGCGCGGUAAGUCGGGUGUGAAAUCUCGGAGCUUAACUUCGAAACUGCAUUCGAUACUGCCGUGCUUGAGGACUGGAGAGGAGACUGGAAUUUACGGUGUAGCGGUGAAAUGCGUAGAUAUCGUAAGGAAGACCAGUGGCGAAGGCGGGUCUCUGGACAGUUCCUGACGCUGAGGCACGAAGGCCAGGGGAGCAAACGGG
rnacentral:rRNA from 1 species